UACGUAGGGUCCGAGCGUUGUCCGGAAUUACUGGGCGUAAAGAGCUCGUAGGUGGUUUGUCGCGUCGUUCGUGAAAACUCACAGCUCAACUGUGGGCGUGCGGGCGAUACGGGCAGACUGGAGUACUGCAGGGGAGACUGGAAUUCCUGGUGUAGCGGUGGAAUGCGCAGAUAUCAGGAGGAACACCGGUGGCGAAGGCGGGUCUCUGGGCAGUAACUGACGCUGAGGAGCGAAAGCGUGGGGAGCGAACAGG
rnacentral:rRNA from 1 species